CCUACGGGUGGCUGCAGUGAGGAAUAUUGGUCAAUGGCCGUAAGGCUGAACCAGCCAAGUCGCGUGAAGGAAGAAGGAUCUAUGGUUUGUAAACUUCUUUUAUAGGGGAAUAAAGGUAUCCACGUGUGGAUAUUUGCAUGUACCCUAUGAAUAAGCAUCGGCUAACUCCGUGCCAGCAGCCGCGGUAAUACGGAGGAUGCGAGCGUUAUCCGGAUUUAUUGGGUUUAAAGGGUGCGUAGGUUGUUUUUGAAGUCAGCGGUGAAAGUUUGUGGCUCAACCAUAAAAUUGCCGUUGAAACUGGUAUACUUGAGUGUGUGUGAGGUAGGCGGAAUGCGUGGUGUAGCGGUGAAAUGCAUAGAUAUCACGCAGAACACCGAUUGCGAAGGCAGCAUACCAGGGUACUUCUGACGUUGAGGCACGAAAGCGUGGGGAGCGAACAGGAUUAGAUACCCCUGUAGUC
rnacentral:rRNA from 1 species